GCAUGCUAACCUGCUAACCCUGGCCCGUCCUGUUUCGGAAUUAACACGUACCUCAAGAAGUGAUAGUGAGUCACUGUAGUAACAUUAAAAGCACUUUCUCUAGGUUAGAUUUAUUCAAGCUAAUGUUAGCUUAACGUUAACACUGUAUUGAUAUUUAAUGUCUUAUUUACCUAAGGACACUCGAUUUUCUGGUGAUAUCCUACCUCCUGGAGUGUUGAGUAUGAAUUUGACAAUUUCUUACAUAUUGCGCCUUUAACAGUGUUUUUUCUGUACUUUUUUUUGGUUUGUUUUAACUUUACAUUUUAGCAGCCUAGCAUCACUCCAGCAAGCAAGGUAAGCGGUAACAUAGCACUGAUUUAUUUACUUAACACAAGUUUAUCAGCGUGAUACAGAUGAAGUGCUGCUCUCUUUUUACCCGUUCAGAGUGUUUGAGGUCUUGUAGUACACACAUACAGUAACAAACUGGCUUUGAGAGAUGAAGUGACCUAUCACACCCUGUAUCCUUCCGCCAAUGCAGUUCAUUACUGUCUGCAAAGAGAGGAAUCUCCUUCAUGUAAUCUUGCAUCUCCUCAAUUGUGUUCCUUGUUUUUAGAGCCUCCUCUGCUGGAGCACAAGUCAAACUACUUCAGAAAGUCUUAAGCACGUAUAGACAGUAUCAAUUCUGAAUUCAAACAAGUUAUUACAGUUUGGAUAUUGCAUUUUUUCCCACGUUUAAACAAAUGAUGAAUAAAAACGACCUCACUCAGCCUCAUUCAGAACAAGUCAGCAGUCACAUGACUGACUUUACCUAGUUUCUUAAGUGACUGUUGAAUACUUUGUGAUGAGAAGUGGCACAAUGAAAUGAAACAAUCACUGAGGGAAUGGCUGUUUUCAAAGCACACUUUGGAAGAAACUGAACACUUUGGGUCUCCACAGUAUGAGCUGCUUUUUUUUUUCUUUUCUUUUUUUUGUAAAAGGAAGACUUCCAUUUUUCUGCUUUUGUUUGCAGGUCUCUCCUGCUCACAGCAGUGGAAAACUGGUCCGACUCAUAAUGUCUUCCUACCUUCCUUCAUUAGCACUGGAUGUAGAGUGUGUACAUGUUUGAUGCUGGCUCAUGAUAAACAGCAGUCUGUAAUGACACUGUAACUAUACAGUGACAAAGUAUAAACUGUUUGAAAUCACGGUAUAAUGUAAGAUAAGUGCACACAGCUCUGGGUUUUUGUCUCAAAUCUAUCAAAUUCGCUGCGGUCUAAUAAAAUAUGCAGCUGGACAGCAGGAACAGCUGUUGAUUGUGUUUAGUUUUGUAUAUUUAUUUACUUAAACAAUUAAAGAGUGGUAUACUCAGUGCUGUGAAAGGAUUCUACAACUCUUUGGAUAAUUGACAUUUUUCAUAUGUGUAUUCAAUGAUAAUGAUUGAGUGGACUACAGCUAAUGUUUGUGAUUAUUGCUGCAUUUUUCUUUUGUGUCUUAUUUUCUUUCUGCUUAACUGAUGAAUAGUUGAGAAUAAAAACAUUGAUUGCUGAA